rnacentral:lncRNA from 1 species
CCCCGGUGAAGCUGAACAUAGACACAUAUGCCCAUCAGCAAGAGUGAGAUUCAUUAAUUUAAUUAAUUUGGUCAAUGAAUACCAGAGAGAAGGGAGAGGAGAUUACAUGUAUGUGACCUGGUGGCUGUGAUUUUCCUACCCAAGAAGACAAAGCAGAGGACUCUGAGAAAGAGAACAGCCACUGUUUUUCUCCCCUUGGAGGGUAGCAGAUGUGCCCCACCACUGCAUGAUAUUUGCCGGGCUCUCCUUGCCCUGGUGGCCUCUGGAGACAGGCUUCUGGUUUAGAGAUGCUUUUCUUAGUUCAUUUCUGGUUACUGUGGCCAUGUCACCACCCUUCACUUCUGUGAUAUCAAAACAACCAUGCCUAUGAAUUAGCAGAUGCCUUUUCUAUCUGCAAGUCUGGGUGGAGUUGCUGGCCCUGUUCUUGGCAGUUCUGCAUUAGGAAGCCUAAUUGCAGGUGCUGGGUCCUCUGUGAGCCCUCUGAAGUUCUCCAAGAAGAGGUGAGCCAGGGGACCCUUCUGGACUCUGAGUGACAUUAGUGUCCUCACUUUCCCUUAAUGAGAAAACACCAUUACACAACACAGACUUGAGAGCAGUAUUAAACUCUGUGCUUUUCUUCCACCCCCAGAUGGUACACAGGGUUUUUCUUUUGCCAUGUUCCAAGACAUCUUACUUUAAAAUUACUGAGCAUUAUUGUCUAAGGAUUCUGACUACCAGAGACCUUCAAAAGAGAGACGGCCCCAUCUCUAAUGUGCAUUUGGGUAAAAGGAGCCAUUAGGGGUUUCCAAAGGCCUCUUCCUCAUUUGCCCAGUUUUUGAGAGGUUUUUGUGGUCCUUUGUUUCCUUUUUGAUUUGGAGAUUUGAGGUGGAUGUUGUUUGUUAUUUGUCCUUGUAUUCAGAGUUUUUCCCUUCUCCCUAAAAUGCCUCUCAUCACAUGACAAUAUUCUCCUUAGAAUAAGACCCAACAGCCUUUCCUCUCUCUCCUGAAUGGAUUUUCUUUUGCAGUGACCUCUGUGGGAGGUCAAUGCCACCAGUUGAGAGGUGCCUAUGCCAUGACUUGACACCAUAGCAGGCCACCCACAGUCCCCAUCUCUCCUCCUGAGGUCUCCCUCUGUCCAUCAUUUUGAUAGAGAGCCAGUCAGAAUUCAAUGUCCAAUAUCCUACCAGCACUAGAAGCCCAUCAGCUGAUUCUUGUUCUCCUGCCUCUCUGCAGGUGGGAAACCUGACUCCAAUUGCCUGCUCCUGCCUCUGCAGGGGUCCACUCGGAAAACAGGAGAAUAACAAGGCUUCCUGUUACUCCUUUGGCUAUGAUACAAUUUGUUCCCAUCUGCCCCCAGGCUCACCCCUGCUCAAACUCAG